rnacentral:lncRNA from 1 species
GGCGGAAAGUGUACAUUGGACAUUCAAGCCCUUUACUUCCAUGAUAUUGCAACUUAAUCCAUGGAAUUUUCACUUGAACAAUUUAGCCCAUGAAUAUGCCAUUUAAGUUAGAAGUUGAAGGGACUAAGUUGUGAUAUGACAGAAGUACAAUGACGUUGCACAAAUUUCUGCUCAAAAACAGGGGAAAGUGAUGCUACUAUUUACUAAUUAAAGACACCGGAAAUAACUAUAUCCAGGUAUACAAAAAGCCAAAUAUAUCCAGGUAUACAAAAAGCCAAAUAGGAACUCUUAUGUCAACUCUAUGUAGAAAACAGGGAAACAAAAUAGCUACAAGCCAGUCCCACAAAUUAUUUAUAAUCAAAAGAAUUGCUAC